ensembl:piRNA 21ur-13904 ncRNA
UUUUAAAUGAAGAUUAAAAUG